UAGGGGCCAUCACACGUUUGAUCCCUUUGGCAUCUUGGAUCAGAUGCCAAACACCUUUACAGCCUGUCCCAGCUGUAAAGCCGCGCCUCCUCUUAUCCAUAAACGGUCAUCUCCUUUCUUUGGCUGUGACCUUCCCUUUGCAUAAGUGUCUUUGGCCUUUCCCUCCUUCUUGUUGUUCAACCUCCUAUUUACCGUGGUAACUUCAGAUGGUACGGACAUGGUAACUCCGUACACUUCAACCUAAGUUUGCACCACUUCAGAAUGUGAAGAAAGGUCGAGACCCAAGUGAUCUUGGUUGAACUGAUCCGUACGGUUUGUACCGUCCGUACCAUUCUCCCAAUGCGUCUCUCACUUCAACCUGAGCUUCAUCUCCUCAUCCCUUUCAUUACCCAAGCCUCUCUAAGCCUUCAUAUCAACUCCUCAUC
rnacentral:lncRNA from 1 species